rnacentral:rRNA from 1 species
UAGCAACUUUCAGCAGUGGAUGUCUAGGCUCGCACAUCGAUGAAGAACGCUGCGAACUGCGAUACGUAAUGCGAAUUGCAAGAUUCAGUGAGUCAUCGAAAUUUUGAACGCAUAUUGCACUUCCGGACUAGUUUUGGA